CGCCGCGAGUCAGGGGGGAGCGAUGCGCGGCGGGGAGAUCAGUUCUUCUUCUGCCCUUCGGGCGCCUCCCCGCUCGCCCCGCUGCGGGCUGUCCUCGCUGCCCAGCUCCGAGGAGCAGCGGCCACCGCGACUGCUCCUCAGCGUCGGGAAGGGCCGACUGAUACUAUCAGAGAAGCGCCUGACCAACCUAGGGCAGCGCCAUGUUUUCGUACGGAGAGUCAAAAGGCUCAGUCCCCAGCCAGCCAAAGGGGCUCCGUGCGCGGUGGCUCGGGAGCUGGGCGGCGCCAUGUUUGCGUACGGAAAGUGGUGGCGCGGCCAGAUGUGGUCCGAGGGUGCUCACUGGGCAGCGGCUCCAGAACCAGGAGUCGACCAACGAGAGCAGGGAAGCGCCAUGUUUUCGUACGGAAAGCCGGAGUGCUGCUGGACUCCAGGCGACGGCUGGGCUGUUGGAAGUCACGCCCACCACCCCAAAAGCCGCGGGCACUCCGUGGCGCUCGGGUUGGUUUCUGUGGUUUCUGAGAUCAUGAUGGUACUUCUAGUGGCAGCGGGGCGCCGUCUGUGGGAAGAGACCCAGAUCCGUAAAGACGGAGGCAGAGGGUCUCACUCUGUUGUUGAGGCUGGCUUUGAACUUACGGAUAUCCUCCAGCCUCAGCCUCCCCGGAGCUUGGAUUACAGGGGUGCACCACCAUGCCCAGCCCCUAUUCCAGUUUGACCUUUGGAUCAAAGACUAGGAAGUCAAACUGCCUCAAGGCAAAAGUUCACUGUAAGGCUACACACAGGACUGGAAAAAGGAGACAGCUGCUCUGGAGAAGGAGGAUGUACAUCAUGAAGCUGUUACCUGCCUUCCCCUCAAGGCGCUGGUUUUGGUUGCCGAAGACGGUUCUUAAUUAUGUGCAAAAUCAAGAUUGUAAAGCAGCAGAGGUGCUGUGCCAGCUGUUUUGUCUCACCAUGUUGAAAAGCUUGUUUCUGAGAACUUCCUCUCACACGUAAGCCGUGACUUCUCUCUCAUUAUAAAGAAAGCUGCUCCCGCUUCUUUAUGCAAGAAAAACUUGCAGUGCUUUAUUGAGUUGGUACCAUAGCUAUUAUAUUACAGAGAUUAGCCCUCGACCUUCCUCCACUUGAAGACUAGACAGUAGCAGUUCUAUCAGAAAAUAAAAAAUUACUGAUGUCAGCA